rnacentral:rRNA from 1 species
UACGGAGGGGGCAAGCGUUAUCCGGAAUCACUGGGUUUAAAGGGUGCGUAGGCGGCUAAAUAAGGCAGAGGUGAAAGUUUGUCGCUUAACGAUAGAACUGCCUUUGAUACUGUUAAGCUUGAAAGUAGGUGAGGUUGGCGGAAUGUGACAUGUAGCGGUGAAAUGCAUAGAUAUGUCAUAGAACACCGAUUGCGAAUGCAGCCGGCUAACCUGACUUUGACGCUGAGGCACGAAAGCGUGGGUAGCCAACAGG